UGGGGAAUAUUGCACAAUGGGCGCAAGCCUGAUGCAGCCAUGCCGCGUGUGUGAAGAAGGCCUUCGGGUUGUAAAGCACUUUCAGCGAGGAGGAAGGUGGUGAGCUUAAUACGCUCAUCAAUUGACGUUACUCGCAGAAGAAGCACCGGCUAACUCCGUGCCAGCAGCCGCGGUAAUACGGAGGGUGCAAGCGUUAAUCGGAAUUACUGGGCGUAAAGCGCACGCAGGCGGUUUGUUAAGUCAGAUGUGAAAUCCCCGGGCUCAACCUGGGAACUGCAUUUGAAACUGGCAAGCUAGAGUCUCGUAGAGGGGGGUAGAAUUCCAGGUGUAGCGGUGAAAUGCGUAGAGAUCUGGAGGAAUACCGGUGGCGAAGGCGGCCCCCUGGACGAAGACUGACGCUCAGGUGCGAAAGCGUGGGGCAGCAAACAGGAUUAGAUACCCUGGUAGUCCAGCGCUGUAAACGAUGUCGAUUUGGAGGUUGUGCCCUUGAGGCGUGGCUUCCGGAGCUAACGCGUUAAAUCGACCGCCUGGGGAGUACGGCCGCAAGGUUAAAACUCAAAUGAAUUGACGGGUCU
rnacentral:rRNA from 1 species